rnacentral:rRNA from 1 species
CUGGAAUAACUAGAGGAAACUCUAGCUAAUGCCGGAUAAGACCACAGCCUCCUCGGGGGCAGUGGCCAAAGGCGGCCUCUUCUUGAAAGCUGUCGCCAUGGGAUGAGCCUGCGGCCCAUUAGCUUGUUGGUGAGGUAACGGCUCACCAAGGCCAUGAUGGGUAGCUGGUCUGAGAGGAUGAUCAGCCACACUGGGACUGAGACACGGCCCAG